GACGUAGGGCGCGAGCGUUGUCCGGAUUUAUUGGGCGUAAAGAGCUCGUAGGCGGCUUGUUGCGUCGGCUGUGAAAACCCGCGGCUCAACUGUGGGCGGGCAGCUGAUACGGGCAGGCUGGAGUUCGGUAGGGGAGACUGGAAUUCCUGGUGUAGCGGUGAAAUGCGCAGAUAUCAGGAGGAACACCGGUGGCGAAGGCGGGUCUCUGGACAGUUCCUGACGCUGAGGCACGAAGGCCAGGGGAGCAAACGGG
rnacentral:rRNA from 1 species